rnacentral:snRNA from 1 species
GUGCUUGCUUCAGCAGCACAUAUCUAAAAUUAGAAUACAGAGAUUAGCCUGACCCCUGUGCAAAGAUGACAUGCAAAUUUGUGAAACAUUCCCAAUUUUU